GGGGGCGAAAAUGGUUUCGACGGGGAUUCUGAGCCUUAAGUAGCGAGUCGUUGAUGAAUCACACAACGCUAAAAUGGUUCAUAAAAAUAAACGACGAAAAUAAUUUCGCACUAGCUGCCUAAGGGUAGCUUAUCUAGCUUAAAGUGCCCACGCUUUAAAAUCUAGGUAUCAAAUUUUGUGGGGAACCGCACUGCACAAGUUGUCAUAAUGCAGGACGGAACUUAUGACAAUAUCCUACGAUUUUUUUGAUUAUUUAAAAGACUAGGAGAAAAUUUAAAAAUAGUCUGCACUCGGAGAAGCUUUUUGCAGACGAAUCUUCGGACGUGAGUUCGACUCUCACCGCCUCCACCA
rnacentral:tmRNA from 3 species